UCCCCAGUGGCUCAGUGGUAAAGAAUCUGCCUGCAAUGCAGGAGAUACAGGUUCAAUCCCUGGUCAGGAA
rnacentral:tRNA from 1 species